rnacentral:tRNA from 1 species
AGCGGGAUACCUAAUUAAGGCCCUACUAUGAUAACGUAGACUUCGUACUACCAGUACUCCCGCU